GGUGGGCAGGCACGAUAGCUCGGGUCGUCGCCCGUUUCACACACAGAAUAUUCCACGAGCUCUCAGUGACGUCAGGGGGAGGGACGCAUUUAAAUGAACUGACGCCCUGGCUGGGGUUUUACAUGGCCACCAAGGAGGCAUCGAGACCCUGGCGGUGGAGGAGACGAUGGGGCCGCCACGGCAGUGAGGCAUCGCGACGCCUAUAGUGAUUUCUUGAAGUAUUUUGUUCCUGAGAAAUCAUUGACAGAAAUUCUUGGUGUUGAGACCAGGCAAUCAAGCACUAUUUUAACAAUGAAAAUUCUCUGAGGAGCAUGAAUCUGAGACCAGGUCAAUACCAGUGGCUCUGUCUCACGGAGAGACAGCAGAGUGAAGGCCUCUCAUGGUACAGGCCUCGUGGCUGUGAGUCUGGAAUCAAGGGGUUAAAGGCUCCUGUAUCCGAUUGGCCAAGCUGCGUCAGGUGACGGGUGACUCAUCUGAAGCUUAAAUACCAGAGCUUCCCAGGAUUCUCUCUCUUCUUCAUCGACCCUGACUGAUGAGCAGACUGCUGGUGUGAGCCGAGGGAGGCCUGGCCACAUGGCAUAGAACUUUGUGUACUUUCACCAUUCCUUGGUAACAAAUAUUGAAUUGGGACGGAUAAGGGCUGACCUUAGUGUUUUUGUGUAUUUUGUUUCAGGGUUAUAUCUCUUUAGGCAGGUUUUAGAGUCUCCGGUUCGACGGUCCAUCACGUGGCUGGCUGGAGCAUUGUUAAAUUGUUUGUCAGUUCAUCCAUAUCCCUGACUGGGUUGUUUAAAUCAGGUUUGGGUUUUGUGUUCCAUUGAAUAAUUAAAACUAUUUUUGAACUUGAA